AGUGAACGCUGGCGGUAGGCCUAACACAUGCAAGUCGAACGGCAGCACAGGAGAGCUUGCUCUCUGGGUGGCGAGUGGCGGACGGGUGAGGAAUACAUCGGAAUCUACUCUGUCGUGGGGGAUAACGUAGGGAAACUUACGCUAAUACCGCAUACGACCUACGGGUGAACGCAGGGGACCUUCGGGCCUUGCGCGAUUGAAUGAGCCGAAGUCGGAUGAGCUAGUUGGCGGGGUAAAGGCCCACCAAGGCGACGAUCCGUAGCUGGUCUGAGAGGAUGAUCAGCCACACUGGAACUGAGACACGGUCCAGACUCCUACGGGAGGCAGCAGUGGGGAAUAUUGGACAAUGGGCGCAAGCCUGAUCCAGCCAUACCGCGUGGGUGAAGAAGGCCUUCGGGUUGUAAAGCCCUUUUGUUGGGAAAGAAAUCCAGCUGGCUAAUACCCGGUUGGGAUGACGGUACCCAAAGAAUAAGCACCGGCUAACUUCGUGCCAGCCGCCGCCGUAA
rnacentral:rRNA from 1 species